UACGAAGGGGGCUAGCGUUGUUCGGAUUUACUGGGCGUAAAGCGCACGUAGGCGGAUCGUUAAGUCGGGGGUGAAAUCCUGGAGCUCAACUCCAGAACUGCCUUCGAUACUGGGAGUCUCGAGUUCGGGAGAGGUGAGUGGAACUGCGAGUGUAGAGGUGAAAUUCGUAGAUAUUCGCAAGAACACCAGUGGCGAAGGCGGCUCACUGGCCCGAUACUGACGCUGAGGUGCGAAAGCGUGGGGAGCAAACAGG
rnacentral:rRNA from 1 species